GAUGAACGCUGGCGGCGUGCCUAAUACAUGCAAGUCGAGCGAACGGACGAGAAGCUUGCUUUUCUGAUGUUAGCGGCGGACGGGUGAGUAACACGUGGAUAACCUACCUAUAAGACUGGGAUAACUUCGGGAAACCGGAGCUAAUACCGGAUAAUAUUUUGAACCGCAUGGUUCAAAAGUGAAAGACGGUCUUGCUGUCACUUAUAGAUGGAUCCGCGCUGCAUUAGCUAGUUGGUAAGGUAACGGCUUACCAAGGCAACGAUGCAUAGCCGACCUGAGAGGGUGAUAGGCCACACUGGAAGUGAGACACGGACCAGACGCCUACGGGAGGCAGCAGUAGGGAAUCUUCCGCAAUGGGCGAAAGCCUGACGGAGCAACGCCGCGUGAGUGAUGAAGGUCUUCGGAUCGUAAAACUCUGUUAUUAGGGAAGAACAUAUGUGUAAGUAACUGUGCACAUCUUGACGGUACCUAAUCAGAAAGCCACGGCUAACUACGUG
rnacentral:rRNA from 1 species